GCGUCUAGUGUGCACACAUGGAAUAACUUUUUGGUGCUUAAGAAGGAUUUUAUUCGCAAGUCUUUGGAUAAGAUUAUAUCUUUCUUCUUCCUAAGGUGAUCGGCUUGUUUUUGGGUAUAAUUUUUUACUUGUUUCUUGACAAACGAUAAGAUUUGAUCCUACCUAAGACCUCAAUGGAAGUCUAAUAAUAAGGACUUUGAACUUGACCUAAUGAUGACGUUUAAAGAUGGUAAAAUAGAAGAUAUAAUGCAUAUAUAGAUUAGAUCAGUUAGUAAUGCGUUCGUCUUUUU
rnacentral:lncRNA from 1 species